rnacentral:rRNA from 1 species
CGUUAUCCGGAAUCAUUGGGCGUAAAGCGCCUGUAGGUUGUUUAAUAAGUCCGUUGUUAAAGACUAGGGCUUAACCCUAGGAAAGCGAUGGAAACUGAUAGACUUGAGUAUGGCAGGGGUAGAGGGAAUUUCUAGUGUAGCGGUGAAAUGCGUAGAUAUUAGAAAGAACACCGGUGGCGAAAGCGCUCUACUGGACCAUUACUGACACUGAGAGGCGAAAGCUAGGGGAGCGAAAGGGAUUAGAUACCCCUGUAGUCCUAGCCGUAAACGAUGGAUACUAGAUGUUGUGCAAUUUGGACAGUAUCGUAGCUAACGCGUUAAGUAUCCCGCCUGGGGAGUACGCUCGCAAGGGUGAAACUCAAAGGAAUUGACGGGGGCCCGCACAAGCGGUGGAGCAUGUGGUUUAAUUCGAUGCAACGCGAAGAACCUUACCAGGGCUUGACAUACUACAGAUCUUUUUGAGAAAGAAGAGUGCCUUCGGGAAUGUAGAUACAGGUGGUGCAUGGCUGUCGUCAGCUCGUGUCGUGAGAUGUUGGGUUAAGUCCCGCAACGAGCGCAACCCUCGUUUUUAGUUGCCAAUUUAUUGGGAUCUCUAGAAAGACUGCCGGUGACAAACCGGAGGAAGGUGAGGAUGACGUCAAGUCAGCAUGCCCCUUAUGUCCUGGGCUACACACGUGCUACAAUGGUUAAGACAAAGAGUCGCGAGCUCGUGAGAGUCAGCUAAUCUCAUAAACUUAGC